UGUUAGGUGAGGUGGUGAGCCAGUCGGUGAGACCGCACCACCCACUAAAAAUUACUGAUCAUGGAAAUUUUCACAUCUCUACCAAGGGAGUGUAGGGAUCUGAGAAAAUAGUGGGAGCCUAAUUUGUUUAAAAAUGAAAAUCUUAAAUAAAUUAGUUGAGUCUGAUUACAAAAUCUAACUAGAAACUUUUGACUCUCUACAGGAAACAUGUCUGCCUCAAACCCCCUGACCAAAAUUCUAGACACCCAUAGACU
rnacentral:lncRNA from 1 species